GAUGAACGCUGGCGGCGUGCUUAACACAUGCAAGUCGAACGGAAAGGCCCAAGCUUGCUUGGGUACUCGAGUGGCGAACGGGUGAGUAACACGUGGGUGAUCUGCUCUGCACUUCGGGAUAAGCCUGGGAAACUGGGUCUAAUACCGGAUAGGACCACAUUUUGGAUGGUGUGGUGGAAAGUUUUUCGGUGUGGGAUGAGCUCGCGGCCUAUCAGCUUGUUGGUGGGGUAAUGGCCUACCAAGGCGUCGACGGGUAGCCGGCCUGAGAGGGUGUACGGCCACAUUGGGACUGAGAUACGGCCCAGACUCCUACGGGAGGCAGCAGUGGGGAAUAUUGCACAAUGGGCGCAAGCCUGAUGCAGCGACGCCGCGUGGGGGAUGACGGCCUUCGGGUUGUAAACUCCUUUCGCUAGGGACGAAGCGUUAUGUGACGGUACCUGGAGAAGAAGCACCGGCUAACUACGUG
rnacentral:rRNA from 1 species